rnacentral:rRNA from 1 species
CACGUAGGGCGCAAGCGUUGUCCGGAAUUAUUGGGCGUAAAGAGCUCGUAGGCGGUCUGUUACGUCUGCUGUGAAAACCCGGGGCGUUAACCCUGGGCUUGCAGUGGAUACGGGCAGACUAGAGGCAGGUAGGGGAGAAUGGAAUUCCCGGUGUAGCGGUGAAAUGCGCAGAUAUCAGGAGGAACACCGGUGGCGAAGGCGGGUCUCUGGGCCGAUACUGACGCUGAGGAGCGAAAGCGUGGGGAGCGAACAGG